UACAGAGGGGGCAAGCGUUGUUCGGAAUUACUGGGCGUAAAGGGCGCGUAGGCGGCCUGUUAAGUCGAACGUGAAAUCCCCGGGCUCAACCCGGGAACUGCGUCCGAUACUGGCAGGCUUGAAUCCGGGAGAGGGAUGCGGAAUUCCAGGUGUAGCGGUGAAAUGUGUAGAUAUCUGGAGGAACACCGGUGGCGAAGGCGGCAUCCUGGACCGGCAUUGACGCUGAGGCGCGAAAGCCAGGGGAGCAAACGGG
rnacentral:rRNA from 1 species